GAUGAACGCUAGCUACAGGCUUAACACAUGCAAGUCGAGGGGAAACGACAUCGAAAGCUUGCUUUUGAUGGGCGUCGACCGGCGCACGGGUGAGUAACGCGUAUCCAACCUGCCCACCACUUGGGGAUAACCUUGCGAAAGUAAGACUAAUACCCAAUGAUAUCUCUAGAAGACAUCUGAAAGAGAUUAAAGAUUUAUCGGUGAUGGAUGGGGAUGCGUCUGAUUAGCUUGUUGGCGGGGUAACGGCCCACCAAGGCAACGAUCAGUAGGGGUUCUGAGAGGAAGGUCCCCCACAUUGGAACUGAGACACGGUCCAAACUCCUACGGGAGGCAGCAGUGAGGAAUAUUGGUCAAUGGACGAGAGUCUGAACCAGCCAAGUAGCGUGCAGGAUGACGGCCCUAUGGGUUGUAAACUGCUUUAUAAGGGAAUAAAGUUAGUCUCGUGAGACUUUUUGCAUGUACCUUAUGAAUAAGGACCGGCUAAUUCCGUG
rnacentral:rRNA from 1 species